UAUUUUAAUGGUGUUGGUUGCGGCCUCCGGGGGUAACCCCCCGGGUGGUAGAGGUAACACUCGCGCGCUCCACAUGCCUUAAUCCUUUUUUUACGAGCACCUUUCGUUCUCCUUCGGUGGGGCAACCUGCCGUUGGAACUUAUCAAAAACCUUUUUUGCAUCUAGCAUUACCUGUUCUGAUACAAACAAUCGUUACAACUUUCAACAAUGGAUCUCUUGGCUCU
rnacentral:misc_RNA from 1 species